rnacentral:lncRNA from 1 species
UUCGAACCAAUCCGGGAGAUUCUUCUCGGCUUCCUUCGCCUUGGCUUCCUGCUGCGAUUCACCGGGCGGCGCUGGUGGCGCUGGCGCUUUGGAACUCUCGGGAUCGCUGGGCGGCUGCGGCUCCUUCUUAGUGUCCUCGUCCUCCUCCUAUGGCCAAAAACACAUCAGUCAUGAAAUGAUGAUCCCUUCCAGAUCGAUGAAGCGAUGAUCCGGGAAGAAAGACUAGAGCGCUCGAUGGAGUGGCCAUUGCCAACGGGAAGAACGACUAGAGCGUGCUCAUUGCCAAAAUGAAAGGCAGCUAAAAGGAUCUCUAGCUUGGGUCGACCGAUGAGCUAUAAGACGAACGCACGACCGAUAUGCAUCUAUGGAUUGAGGACGAUCGCACGAGCGGUUAGAUAUUUCGAUCGAAAUUUCCCGCAAACACCGAAAGAACAAUCGAGAAUGACGCUCAUCAAUGCCGCAAUAUGCAAGAGAGCUUGCCGCUAAGAGGGAAGAACCGAUCGAUAGCUGCGGAUAGAUCUGCUAGGAGGGAAAGAAAUCGAUCGGCGCAAAGAGAGAUGCAAGGGACUGCGGCGACAAGGAAAGAACCGAUCGACAGCUGCGAUAUUUCGGCUAGCGGAGGGAUAGAAAUCGAUCGGUGCGGCGAGAAGGAAAGAACCGAUCGAUAAGCUGAUAUUUCUGCUAGAGAAUGCGGGCAUCGAUGCGCGGGAGGGAAAAGAGAAGGAAAUCGAUCGGCGCAAAGAGAGAUUACCUUGCAGCCUUCCGCCACUGGCGGCUGCUGCUGCUGCUGCUGCCUCCGCCGCUGAUCUUCAUCCCGCAUCACAUCCAGAAGCAUAGAUUGGAAGUCGAGGCUCG